CUGAGAUCAGUUUUAAUGAGCAAGAGAACUGCUGCACAUAGAUAGCAACUCAGAGACUCUCACAUGGUUGCUAAUUUUUACAUUCUCAGGCUGAUCAUUGUUUUAUUAUUUUAGGUGAUCAAACUCCCUUGAUUGUCAGUGAUGUACCUGUAAGGGUGUAGUUAAAGAUAUGGCCCUUUGAGAUGUAAUAUGUUUUAGUGCUUGACAAAUAUAUUGCUCUUGUGACACUCACGUAGCUUUUCUGGAACUGAGUCAUCCUCUUCAGUUCUCUGGAAAAUAAACAUUUAGCUGGAAUGGAUUGGGCUGAGAACUCCCCACCCUCCCUCUCUCUGUCAGCAUUACCCUAUAAAAGCAGAGCCAUCUACCCACUCUGCACUAGAACACCUGAUUACUACAACCUUCAAGCGCGCCAUCACACCGAGGAAGAACACACAGACACAGCAAUGGAUUGUGCUUCAACUGUCGUCACUUCACAUACCAACAGCAAAAACGACUGCAAUAAAAAAAAAUGUGUUGCCCCAUGUCCUACUGAAUCAGGCAAAAACAUAUCAGGUCAAAACAUAUCAGGCCAAAACAUAUCCGGCAGUGUGGGCGGAAGUAUUUCCAUUGGCAACCAGGACAAUACCAUCACUCAUACCGGUUAACAAACAACUCCCAGAAAAACUGUCGCACCCAGCAUCACCAUAGCCAACAUAACAGGUGGCAAAGUGGGUCUUUACUACAAGGCAGAGAAGAUGGCUCUCUGUGACCUCAUCGAGGGGAGACAACUCAGGAAGGGCCACUCCAUUCUCAUCCUGGAAAACACCUUUAAGAAGACCCCUCUUCCUCCUCUAUGUCACUGGCUUCCAAGUAGAAAGUGACAAUACAUACAGAUUUAACUACAUACAAAAUAUUGAUUAAAAAUAAAGAGAGAAUAAAUCUCAGAUAAGUGAAAAAGUGCUACAAGAUAUACUUUGAUUGUAUGGUCGAAUUCAACAAUGUAAUCAAUGUAGGUUUUUGACAAAAAAAUAAAUGUUACCAAACUGAGAAAAUGUUAGUAUGUGUUCUGUAAGAUGUUAUCAUGAGUGUGUGUGUGAUUACAUUACAUGAUUGGGGUUGCCACCAGAUAUCCUACAUACUGAUGCUAAUUUCAACAAAGGUCAACAACACAAUAUUGUAAUCAAAGUUGUAUUUCUAAGGUUGUAGUCAUGUUAUUUCAAGCAUACAGUGUGUUGGUGCAAGACACUUACAGUGAGCACAAAUAUAUAUAACAGAGACAAAAUCUGCACAUUUCCUCAUUACAUUGGAUUUGAAAAUCAUUUGAACUAGAAUGUUAGAUAAAUGCAGUGUUUCCCAACUAAAGGUUUG
ensembl:lncRNA